AGUGAACGCUGGCGGUAGGCCUAACACAUGCAAGUCGAACGGCAGCACAGUAAGAGCUUGCUCUUACGGGUGGCGAGUGGCGGACGGGUGAGGAAUACAUCGGAAUCUACUUUUUCGUGGGGGAUCACGUAGGGAAACUUACGCUAAUACCGCAUACGACCUACGGGUGAAAGCAGGGGAUCUUCGGACCUCGCGCGUGGGUAUGAGCCGAUGUCGGAUUAGCUAGUUGGCGGGGUAAAGGCCCACCAAGGCGACGAUCCGUAGCUGGUCUGAGAGGAUGAUCAGCCACACUGGAACUGAGACACGGUCCAGACUCCUACGGGAGGCAGCAGUGGGGAAUAUUGGACAAUGGGCGCAAGCCUGAUCCAGCCAUGCCGCGUGGGUGAAGAAGGCCUUCGGGUUGUAAAGCCCUUUUGUUGGGAAAGAAAAGCAGCAGGUUAAUACCCGGCUGUUCUGACGGUACCCAAAGAAUAAGCACCGGCUAACUUCGUG
rnacentral:rRNA from 1 species